rnacentral:rRNA from 1 species
AAUCAACGCUGGCGGCGUGCCUCAGACAUGCAAGUCGAACGCGAAAGGCCCCUUCGGGGGCCCGGUAGAGUGGCGCACGGGUGAGUAACACGUAGGUAAUUUGCCUUCGGGUGGGGAAGUAACAGCCGGAAACGGGCUGCUAAUACCGCAUAAUGCAGCGGCUCGACAUCGAGACAGUUGUUAAAGCGGGGGAUCGCAAGACCUCGCGCCUGAAGAGAAGCCUGCGGCAGAUUAGCUUGUUGGUGAGGUAAUGGCUCACCAAGGCGACGAUCUGUAACCGGCCUGAGAGGGCGGUCGGUCACACUGACACUGACAUACGGGUCAGACUCCUACGGGAGGCAGCAGUCGGGAAUUUUGGG